rnacentral:tRNA from 1 species
CAUGUCUGUUAAACUCAGAUCGUUUUGA